rnacentral:rRNA from 1 species
AUACGGAGGAUGCGAGCGUUAUCCGGAUUUAUUGGGUUUAAAGGGUGCGUAGGCUGUGCGUUAAGUCAGGGGUGAAAUGCCGUCGCUCAACGACGGAGCUGCCCUUGAUACUGGCGUGCUGGAGUACGGAUGCCGUUGGAGGAAUGAGUGGUGUAGCGGUGAAAUGCUUAGAUAUCACUCAGAACACCGAUUGCGAAGGCAUCUGACGAAUCCGUCACUGACGCUGAGGCACGAAAGCGUGGGGAUAGAACAGGAUUAGAUACCCUGGUAUUCCACGCCGUAAACGAUGAUGACUAACCGUCGGCGAUAGACAGCCGGCGGCCAAGCAAAAGCGAUAAGUCAUCCACCUGGGGAGUACGUCGGCAACGAUGAAACUCAAAGGAAUUGACGGGG